UACGUAGGGUGCGAGCGUUGUCCGGAAUUAUUGGGCGUAAAGAGCUCGUAGGCGGUCUGUCGCGUCGGUCGUGAAAACUUGGGGCUUAACCCUGAGCUUGCGGUCGAUACGGGCAUGACUGGAGUUCGGCAGGGGAGACUGGAUUUCCUGGUGUAGCGGUGGAAUGCGCAGAUAUCAGGAGGAACACCGGUGGCGAAGGCGGGUCUCUGGGCCGAUACUGACGCUGAGGAGCGAAAGCGUGGGGAGCAAACAGG
rnacentral:rRNA from 1 species